rnacentral:lncRNA from 1 species
UUGAGGAUUCUUCUGGGCUACCCGACUCAGGACAGGGAGAGGCCACUACUUAUACAGGUGCUGCGGUUGCUGUGCCAGGCCUGAGCCAACCCCCUCUGGAGCAGCAGCUCUAUGUGAGCCGGGCUCUGCUGCUGUGUGUGACUGAGUGAUGCAGAGCUACAGUAGCUACGCUCAGAGUUACUGCAGGUCAUGCUGGGAGGGAUACAGAGCCACCUGGAUAGCAGCGUAGUGCAUGUGAGGGGCAUGGUGGUUGGGGAGUGUCUCCGCUCCUGCAUGGACAUCAACAGAGCCAAGCUCAAACUCGAGGAUGAGGAGACCAAGGAGCUGCUCUCACUGAUGACUCCACUUUCUGAUGAAGAAACGGAGCCGCUUGAUGACAGAUUGGCUCGUCCUCGAGGUCAAAGGGCAGACCAUCCCAGGCUGCUUCAGUGGCCCAGAAAUCAGGAGCUGACCCAGACUCUUGUUAUACACUACAUGUAUUAACAUAAUAAUGUCUGUGAGACUGAAGUUGUAUAUUUAAUUCAAAUCAUUACAGCUUAAUGAAUCUUCCCAUGGGCAGUUAAGAAGGCAUGGUAUAGAGCUCGCCAACUUGUAGUCCUAAAAAACAUAAAUGCUUCAAAAAUCACAUUUAGAUUAACUAAUGAAGAUUAUCUCAUUGAGGAGAACAUAUACGAUCUCCUAAGCCUGUGUUUACCACAGACCUUAUUUUCGGUGUUUAUCCAAAAACCCUACAAAAACGCCAUUAAUUUCCCCAUAACCUUGUCCAAUGAACCAUGGUGGAGUUAGUGCCUACAAAAAAACGCAAUUUCUAUUUCUCUCUACAGUACUGUUGUAUUAACUAGGCUCUAUGUCCCUGUCCUGUGUUUGUAUGAACCAGUGAUGAUUCGCUCACCCCCUACUGACCAGGAGAUGAGACAAGCCGCCCUGCCUUGCUACCUCCGAGACAGUCUUGGAGAGUAAGAUACAGUAAAAACAGUACAUUCGGAAGGUAUUCAGACCCCUUCCCCAUUUUGUUGUAGCCUUAUUCUAAAAUGGAUUAAAUGAAACAUUGGACUCUGCAAGGUGUUGAAAGUGUUCCACAGGGAUGCUGGCCCAUGUUGACUCCAAUGCUUCCCACAGUUGUCAAGUUGUUUGGCUGGCCUUUGGGUGAUGGAUCUUUCUUGAUACACACAGGAAACCGUUGAGUGCAGGGUACUUGAAUUAAAAUGAGCGGAACAGAACAUGAUCAAAUAUGUUAUUUCCUUACGUGUUUUCCUUUCACCACAAUAGCACUCAGCCAGGCAGGUACAAAAUUGAUUGAUUAAGCGCCGCCAAACAUCACAUCGAUAGCUAAAAGGCCGGGCAAAUGUAGAUGUAUUCCUGCCUGGCAGGAUACUGAUGUUAAUGAAUGGGUUUUGCCAGACAACCAGGGAUGUAGUGGAGCGUGAACGCCAUUUACGCACAUUUUUACUUGUGAAAUAGCGUUUACUUUUAUACAUUUAUUUUUGUAUUAUUGUUUACCCACUUAUUAUUACGUUCCCAGCAUUGAUCAACGCUCAGAAGGAUUGUUGAUCAGAGUUCUAACCUCAGCAGGAGCAGUUGACUGACAUUAAGAUGGCUAAUACAAUUUCUCUUAACCAAAUACAUUUUAUUUACAGAGGGUAGUGAGGCUGCAAUGAAGGAGGCAAAGGAAGAUCCAAAGAGAGGAAGCGUUGAAGCAAGCAGGGACUGAGGACAGUAUUACAGUUGUACCCAAACUUGGGGCCCCCCAAAUUUUUAAAUAGGGUCCCCUGAGAGUUCUUAAUCUUAUUAAACACAUUAAUAACUUGUAUCUCUUCAAAUGGGUAUAGAAUGCAACAUUUUAGAGUCAACUAAAUGAAGGGCAUUUUACAGUCAGAAUUCGUCAUUGUGUUGGGACAGCUUGUGGGACCCAACAUGACUUAUAAAGACAAUUUAAAUAUUAUCAUGUACACUGAACAAAAAUAUAAAUGCAACAUGCAAAGAUUUCAAAGAUUAUACUGGGUUAGUUCAUAUGAGAAUCAGUCAACAUCAUCAGUACUGACUUACCACUCUUGUGUAGUAAAAAUAAGUAGUGAAAUGUAUUAUUGAGUAGAACUUGUAAGGUAGUGAUGAAUAGUACUUUUUUUUUCAUGUGGUUGAUAUACUGCAAUCUGGUGGUGACGAAAAACAUUUGCAUAAUAGGAAGUAUUACAAAUUGAUGAUCCUUGAAAAUAAAUAUUAGUGCUUAAGACUGCAGCAUUGCAGUUCUUGACACAAACCAGUGCGCCUGGCACCUACUACCAUACCCCUUUCAAAGGCACUUUAAUAUUUUGCCUUGGCCAUUCACCCUCUGAAUGGCACACAUACACAAUCCAUGUCUCAAGGAUAUAACAUCAAUAAGGGAUCAUAGCGUUCACCUGGUCAGUCUGUCGUGGUGUCCACAACGUUUUGUACACUGUGUACAUACCAUGCACAGUUUUGACAAUGUGGAUGAUACAUACUGAAUUUAUACUGUUUUUCAUACUAAGAUGUGUUGCUUUUUCACAUAUUUGUUCAUUGGUUUUGCAGGCGUUGGUUGAUGGGUCAGUUGGUUUUUGAAUAUGUUGAUGCCAUUUUUUUUUUUUUUAUACCUUUUAUUUUACUAGGCAAGUCAGUUAAGAACAAAUUCUUAUUUUCAUUGACUAAGAAUAGGAUGCAAUGUCCACCCCAAAAUAUAAGCUUGUUUUACUCCAUUGUUUGUAAACCAUAUAAUUGUACAAAUAAAUUGUUGGUUGCGUAAAUAAUGACUAAAUGUUACAUGAAAUGUAAUUAAGAAAUAUUUAAACUGAAUGAAAACCCCUAUGUUUAAUAUGUAUUGGCAAUAAUUCACUUAAUGGUGAGGCAUAGAAUAAUGUCUUUUCUCACACUGGAUGUGAGCAGGUGAUUUGAGUCAUGCUUCUUUAGUAGUGGAAUAAAGACAAUUAGCACUUGAAUGUUCUUAAUACUGUGUACUUCCUGAAUUGAUGUGUGAUUAUUAAUACAAUUGUUCAUUGACUAAUUUGAUACUGUGAUACUGUUUCCAUUUGAAUGAAACUACAUUAGUUUUUUCAGGUCGUUUCAAUGACUUGAACAAACUUUCAACCGAAAGUAGGAUAUUAGGAAGAUGUUCUUGAUGUUUUGUACACAAUGUAUACUGUCCAAAAUGUAUCCUUGCCAUAAGUGUCCCCAUGGCAUACUACAAACAGUGCCUUCCGGAAAAUAUUCAGACUCCUUGACUUUUUCCACAUUUUGUUACGUUACAGCCUUAUUCUGAAAUUAAAU